UGUCUGGCCACUGUCUUGAUCAGAAUCCUGAGCUAAAUAGAUAUUUGCUAUUGUGUGGAUACAGGCAUGUGUGGAUCUUAGAUAUUAUUUAUUUCCACCUGUCUAGACUUGAGGCAUGAAAGAGAGCAAAAACCCUUAGACCAUCCUGGCUGAGACCAAUGCUGCUUGACUCCACCUCUCUCAGAACCUGUUUCCAUCAAUAGUCAUUUACACCUGGUUGCACCCAAAUAAAAAAAGAGAGAGAAGAGGAGAGCCUCCAAAAAAACUGGAUUACAUGAUUUUGGAAAGAAUAAUGCAGAGGGAGAGAGUCGCUUAUUUAUAUUAUGUUUGCAAAAUCUGUGCAGGGAAGAAGUCUCUUCCAUCUAAUUUAUCCACUGCUGGCAUUUUGCCACUGCCAAACUCUUCUUGUGCUCAUCUUCCCUGCUUAUAAGAGACUCACCAGAUGUUUGGUUGUUUGUAUCUCUCUGCAGACCACCACAGAGAAAUUACCAAGCUACAGAUUUCUAAAGAAACCUACACUGUGAUA